rnacentral:rRNA from 1 species
CCAGCGGAGGGAUCAUUACCGAGUUUACAACUCCCAAACCCCUGUGAACAUACCUUAUGUUGCCUCGGCGGAUCAGCCCGCGCCCCGUAAAAAGGGACGGCCCGCCGCAGGAACCCUAAACUCUGUUUUUAGUGGAACUUCUGAGUAUAAAAAACAAAUAAAUCAAAACUUUCAACAACGGAUCUCUUGGUUCUGGCAUCGAUGAAGAACGCAGCAAAAUGCGAUAAGUAAUGUGAAUUGCAGAAUUCAGUGAAUCAUCGAAUCUUUGAACGCACAUUGCGCCCGCCAGUAUUCUGGCGGGCAUGCCUGUUCGAGCGUCAUUUCAACCCUCAAGCCCAGCUUGGUGUUGGGAGCUGCAGUCCUGCUGCACUCCCCAAAUACAUUGGCGGUCACGUCGAGCUUCCAUAGCGUAGUAAUUUACACAUCGUUACUGGUAAUCGUCGCGGCCACGCCGUUAAACCCCAACUUCUGAAUGUUGACCUCGGAUCAGGUAGGAAUACCCGCUGAACUUAAGCAUAUCAAUAAGCGG